CUGCUCUGCGUUGCAGGUGAGGCGGGGCGUACUCGAGGAUCAGCAGCUGACGCAAGAGAACGUUCCGGUGAUUGUCACCAAGUGUCUCGACUUCAUCGGCGUCCACGGUCUGUCGUCGGAGGGCAUCUACAGGAAGAGCGGACAGGACUCUGUCGUCAGUCGUCUGCUGAACGAGUUUUACGAAGACGCGCACGGUGUCUUCCUGAAGCAGGACGGUGAAUACUCGGAACACGAGCGUCACCCAACUGCCUGAAGCGAUUCUUCCGCAACC